rnacentral:lncRNA from 1 species
GUGAGGAGUUUUGAGACAUAUUGUGGAUCCCUAUCUCAAUACGGGAUGAAACACAUGCGGUCCCUGGCAAACAUCUGCAACGCCGGAAUGACAAAGGAGCAGAUGACCGAGGCUUCAGCACAAGCCUGCACGAGCGUUCCUUCUAGCCGUUGGAGCUCCCUGCACCGGGGGUUCAGCGCAUGAUUUCAAGAAGAAGAAAAAAUGUGGGAUUUGAAUAACCAAUCCGUGGUCAUCUCUAUAUGCAAAACAUAUCUUAGGAUGCAUUUCGAUUAUUGUUAAUGUUAUUCUGAUUGCUUCAGUGUAACCUUGUGUAAAUACAACUCAAGCCCCUGUACUGUAAUGCACGUACCUACUGAAUCUUGUAAGUAAAUAUUAGCAUGUUUGUUGCGUAUGAAUACGUACCUGUUUGCUGCAGCUGGUGUACGCAUCAGGCUCUGGUUAUAAAAAAGUUUGCAAUUACGAUAUGCCUUUGUUUUAUGUUCACUUUGGUUGCUUCAUUAAGGAAGUGAGUGGCUUGUCUCCAUCUCCUUCACCACCACCACUAACAGAACAUAAUUAUCGCGUAACACUUUCAACUUUAUGUCUAUUUGAGUUAUUAUUUACAAUUACAAUUUUUUUAUAUUAAAAUUUAUCAAAUAAUUUUGACAAUGCUUUUUGUACUAGCACUUCAAAAGAAUUAUUUAUUAAACAUGAAGUUGCUUUACUUUACAAUUAAUUAUUUUUAAAGCACAAUAAAAUUAAAUUUUUUAAAAAAGUCACAUCAAUCUCAAAUUCCCCUUCUUUCUUGUCCGUCUCCAAAUGGUAAACUGGUAAUCUAGCUUUUGACCCCCAAAAAAAUGGAAAUCUAGUGGGCCUUUCAUAAGAUAAUGUCAUUAUCAUUGUGUGAGUAUAUUCCGUGUAAUUGAGUAAUGAAAGAUAUCGAUCGCGUUGGGAAUUGGGGAAAGUUAGAAAUAUUUAAGAGACGGAUUUACUCCCUCAAUUAAUGUAAUUUAUGGGUUUUCAAGAAUUAAAUGACGGAUUUUAAUGUGGAACACACAUAAAUUUGUAUACCUGAUGUAAAUUUAAGAGUUGGAAUAAUUUUAAUAUCCAUUAUAGGCAAAUGAACAUGCCAUGCUAUAGGUGUGUGCCCAAUUUCAUUGUGGAGAACGUAGCCGUAGGAGAGCAUGCGUCCAACCCCAAAUUCCCUUUCUUCCUCACCUUGCUCCAACCUGUAGCUGCCAAAAUGUAGGUAAGCAACAGCCUACAUUACGGGUCCAAUAAUGUACAAUUUUGGCAAAGUCCAAUUACUUUAAUGAUGGAAUGAUUGUAUAGUUAAAUCUUACUUAAUAAGAUAAGAGUGAGAGUCAAAUUUAUACGGUGCAUAUUUAUUUCAUGUGUCAAUGCCAAUUAUAUUACAUAUUUUAAUUGAAUAAUACGGACCAUUUAACUUGACACAUGCAAAAUUAUAGAUGAGCUUGUAAUUGUAACAUUAAGAUUCACACAAAAAACGAAACUCACAAUAUUUAGCUGAAUGGAAAAUGUUUUCAAGAUGCAUCUAUCAUAAGUUCUAGCUGUGAACAUUAUUAUAUGGCAGUGUCCCAUCCCAUGGUCUCCCCAAGACUCACAACCCAACAUUUUCUUUUUCUUUUUCUUUUUCUUUUAUUUUUUUAUUUUUAUAAAACGCAACCCAACUUUAAAAAUAUGAUCCAUAAUUGCAUAUUGUCAAACCAACAGUGAAAAAAAAAAAAAAAAAAAGGGAAGCAGGAACCGACGCUCUAGAUUCAACAAUUUUAUUUGGUCAACACACAAAUAUUUAAGCUUGGCUUAUAUACGGUCUAUAAUCGGCCACAGGAACCGGACAUCAAGGACAAUUGUCUGAUAACGUGAAAUCCACGACUCUGGUUAAACUUACCAUGGUUAGUUCACUAUAACCAUACUACAACGAACCGGUUCACCAGAAAAAUAAAAUUAAAAAAUUAAAAAAUUAAAAAAAGGUAAAGGAUGAAUAAAAAAAUAAUUGGGUAAUGCAAAUUAUUGCCACUUAACGGAGUAGUAGAUUCUGUUAGAUUCAUUUGACGAGGCGAAGAGGGGGCGCAUAGUAAGAACGUUGUAACGAGGUUUAAAAGAGACGGAGCUGACGGUUUAAGAUAGGGAGACGCGGGAGCCGUUGGAUUGUUGAUCAAGGGCCGAUAAUGCAAGGCGUUGGACGGUUCAAGUGUGACGGAGAGUGGGAGGGGUCGUAUAAAGCCUGGGUUUUGAAAGGUGAGAGUGCAUUUCGUUCCAUCAAAACAAGAAGAAGAAAGAGGAAGAAGAAGGAGAAAGAGCCUCUCUGACGUUUUGGCCUUCGGUUUUUCUUCUGCUUUAGAAUUUAAAGAGGAAUUCGGGAGAGAAUUCGUAGAGCUGGACUGUGUGUAAUGUUAAGGAUCUAAUUACGAAGCUUUUCUGUGAGCCUGUUGUGUGUUCGCGGGAGAGAGAAGGAGAGAAGAGCUUGCAGAGGUUGGUGAUGGAGAAAACAGAGCUCGAUUUUGGUAGUUUUAAUGUAAUCUGAUUUCUUAGAAUGACCGGGUUAUUUUGUGCAAUUUCUGUUUUGCAGAUACAUUCAGAAGAGCUUUUGGAGGAAUUUGAAGUGAAAUCGAUUGCGAUUUGCUGGGAUAAUUUCCAAGGUGGACCUCAUUUCAUUGAAAUUUACAGAGAAAAGGUCGAGAAAUCUAGUUUAGAGGUGAGGGGAGUUGGAUUUGCUUAAUUUCCUAAACGAUUUCACUCCCUUAUUCUAACUCAUCGUUCGUUUGAUUUUGGUUUCACAGGUACAUUUCCCGGAGAUUUGACCCCUUUUUUUUGAAGAAAUCUCAACUGGGGUAUGAGAUAAAGAAGAACAAGCAUCUCUCAUUCAUGAGUGUCAGGGACAUAGGCUCUAAGUUUCAAUCAUUUCGUUGAUUUUCGGCUCUAGAUUUGCAUUUUGCAAAGUCAGAAGGCCUAGAAGAGCAAGAUUACCCAAAAGAAGCAAACUUUCUUUUGCAAAUUCAGGAUUGUAGCUGCUUGCGAAAUCUCAGUAUAACAGGUGAGGAUUCAUUUUCCGAAUCCUAGAUCAGUGAAACCAAGUCUCGGGCUUAGGAUUUCACUGGCUGAUUUGAUUUCCUUCCAUUUUCGGUUCUUCGAAUUUUGAUAUCUUUCUACUCAAUUUGGUUUCUUCAAGGAGGCUCUCACUUUUCUCUUCUUUUUCCUCAUCUGCAGCAGAGUCCAAGCAAUUGGUUUCUCUGUUUUUUGAUUUUCGAUGUUCAAAAGCAGAUAACUUUGCAACAGAAUUUUAAGCUUUUCAAAUGAAGCCAGCCGAGUUCCUUGACUCUCUCUCUCUCUCUCUCUCUCUCUCUCUCUCUCUCUCUCUCUCGCUCGCUGGGUCUUACAUUUGGAUCCAUCAUCUUUGUCCAUCAUCUUCUUUCAAUUUUCUGUCAUCUGCCUUCUGUGCAAGAAUUUUCAAUUUCAAAAAACUAAUUGACCUUUAUAUUUGGGAAGAUUAUCUCUUCUUCUUCGUCUUCUUCUUCUUCCUCUCCUCCUCCUCCCCAUUUUAAAGGCUUUUAAUAUAUUUUUCUGAAUGAUUUCCGUCUGUAUUAUCAGCAUUGAAAAGAAAAGACCUUCUCUAUGAAAUUUUACCCGCUGUUUUGUGAAAAAUCUAUCUAUCUUUGGUGUUCUUUGCUGGCAGUCCGAAGUUUGUGUCUUUUCCGAAAUUCAAACACCAGCAGAGUGCAAAAUCUUCUGUUUGGUUCUCGGGAAACUGAUACAAGAAAAAACUGAGCUAACAGACGUAAUUGCUCAACUUAUUUAAUCGCAAUUCGUUGGAAGCGUCUGAUAAAAAAAAUAUAUAUAUAUAUCAAAGAUACAAUUUUCAUUCUUUGUCCUUUCCCUGCCUUUUUUUUUUUUCGAUCUUCAUCUUCUCCGUCUGUUUGGGUAGGCCCUGCUUUUCAUUUGAAUUUUAUUUUUAGGCACUCGCAGUUGCAGAGAGCCAGCCACAAUCCAAUUCCAGAUUCUCAGUUUUUGCCAUUUCCGUCCCUAACUUUAAUUAUGAGCAUUAACCGCGGUUAAAGUGUAAAAAAUCAUGUUAACUAACUAACCGCUGUGAUUAAUUCUUGUUUUGGCAUGGGUGGACAGGUGUACAAAAGGAGAUGGAAAGGGACUGUCUUAGGCACACCCAUACUAAAGACACCCACAAUCCCAACACUCGAGACAAAACCGGAGGGGACGCCUCAGCCUCUCUGCUGUUGAGAGCGAGCCCCGAUGCCAUACGACACGCAACGACGUCGUCCGAUUUCGUUUUGCAGUGGGGGAACCGCAAGCGCCUCAGGUGUAUGAAGAUCCAGGUCAAAGACAAGGGCAAAGACGACUCCGACGCCCCGGUUACCCGAACCACAGUCCGGGUCGACCGCCGGGUCGUCCGACCUGAUAAGGACCCGGCCAAUCAGCCUUCCACGGCCGGUAACUCUAAUCAGACGAAUGGGUAUUUGAAUCUCCGUCAACGGCCGUUAUCUCCGCAGCAGCCGCCACUUCAGCGUGUUCUCAGGUUACCACUUGCACUUCACGCUUUUGCUUUAUCUAAUCUAUAUCUAUUGCUUCCACGGGACGUCGUUUCGGUCCUGCCUUUCGUUAACAUGUAGUUUCGUCGUUUUGUGGGGUAGUUGUGGUGGCGUUUUGUCGUUUAAAUUAGUGGCGGGUGGGCCAGGUGCGUGGGUUUUGUCGUUUUUAGUUAUUUUGGGACUUGUUGCCUACGGUUACAUCUGUACAGUUUUGGUGCGGUUUUUAUAUAUACCUUGAUCUCACCGUCAGAUGCAUGAGUCAUAAUCAUCAGAUCAGGAGAUUUUAUAUUCAGACUUGCUUGAUUUUAGAUUUUAGAUUUGUGAGGAAAAAUCUCAGAUGAUUGCGUGGCCAAUUUCUCUACGUCUGUGAAGGUCAAAGAGAAUAAUUUUGUUAGGUAAGUGUUUGUUGCUUUGAUUAGAUUAUUUCAUAUGCAACAAUAGAGUGAUUGCAAAUUCUGUUAUCUUCUUCCUUGUUUGGUUGAAGAGAAAAUCUUGUUUGCGUGAAGGGAAAAUCUCUGAUUUUCUUGUGCAAAUUUGUCGCUUUAGAUUGGAUUGAUUUAUAUGAGUGGGACUGGAUAAAUGGAUAAGGCUAGAAAGCAUGGAAUUUUGUCCCACACCACUGGUUUUUUAUAUUCCUGGCCUGCCAUUAACAUGGCUGUGUUUAAUCCUAUGUGCUUAAUGUGUAGUUGAAUGAAAUUUUGUCGGAGGGUUUUUGAGAUUAGGAGUUUUAAUGAUGAAAUUUGGGGCUGAAUUUGUUGUGAGGCUUAUCUUAAUGAUCAACUCUCCAAUUGGUCAGGUGGGUGAAGAGAUGUAAAAGCCCCAGAAGGAGAGCUCAUGGUAAGUGCAUGAGGGUAGGGUGCCUUCUUUGUUUGUCUUUGUAGGAAACUAGUAGCAUAUGAUUGAAUUAGGUUGCUCAUGUAGUCAUGUAAUCUUUUUGGCUUGAUUGUGCACAACAUAAAACACAUUAACAUAACAAACAACUUAAAUUAGAGAAAGAGAGAGUCUUAGUGCCAUAAGGUCAAGCAUUUACCCUCACAUUCACGGCAAGAGUUUGAUUCUUCCUCGUUCGUGUUUUUCAGGAUGCGGUAUUAAAUUAUGGUAUCAUACAGGAUGGUGUAUCAAUAAGUUGAUGUCAAGCAUGAUUGAUUUGAUACUAGUUCUAGUUUUCUUUUUUGGAAUAAAUGCCUUAUUUAUUGUGAUUGAUUUGUUAUUUAUUUUAGACACGAUGUUAGGGCUGAUUUGAUCAUAAAUCUAGAAUGAUUAGGCUUGAGUAAAUUGAUUUCCACUAGGACUUGUGUAGCAGGCUUAUGUUGCUCAUGGUCACACCGGAUCGGGGCUCCACUACAUCUUAGCAUGAUAGCGUCCGAUCCAUAACGACCGGCACCCUGAUUCCAUGGGCUCAGUGGAAAUAGGAAAUGGGCAACUCCUAUUCCACGUGUCCACGGAAAACCAAUUCUUCAACCCCGUUUCUAGCCCUGGGAUCACUGAUGGAUCAGGCAAUGGAUCCACGCCUUCCACGUUUCAACACGUGUUCCUUAACCCCACAAAAGGCACUCUCAAUCCAACGGCUAAAAUCCUGCCCAAAAACCAGCUGUGCACGUUAUACAGUACAUCACAUCCCUUUCCUCUCUCUCUCUCUCUCUCUCUCUCUCUCUCUCAAAUAUCUAACUUUUCAUUAAAGAAAAGAAAAUUAACAACUCCCUCGUUUAAAAGCAGAACACAAAGGUCCCCCAAAGAAGCCAAAAACCACGCUAAUUUUCUACGCAAAACCCAUUACAAAGCCUCUCUCUCUCUCUCUCUCUCUCUCUCUCUCUCACACCAAUCCACCGAUCUAGAUCGUCUCAAGGCCAUUCCCGUAAUUUCACAACUACCCACAUUAAUUUAAUUUAAUUUAAUUUUUUGCCCAAAAAGUAUCAUUUAUUAUGUUUUGUGCCAGCUUUUUUAUGGGUUUAUUGAAUUCAAUUGAUUUGAUUUGAUUUGAUUUUGAUAUGCGUAUCUGAAUUGUGUAGAAACUCAGAGACCACAACAAGUGCCAUGAGAGGCCAGAGCAACGGAGGCUUGAGGGGAAUUGUUUCACCCGACAACAGAGGGGGUGCGCACGAUAAGAAAGGCAACCACCACCAUCACAACCACCACCACCAUAAUAAUGAGAAUAACAACACCAAGUCUGCAGCUUCUUCGGACACGGCGCACGAUAGUAAAAAGGGGGGAGGUGGGUCUUCAUCGGGAAGCGGCGAAGCAGCGUUGGCGCCACCGAUGGUCUGGCCGCCGAAGUUCGUGAUUGCUUUGACCAACAAAGAGAAAGAAGAGGACUUCAUGGCAAUCAAAGGGUCAAAAUUGCCUCAGAGACCCAAGAAGAGAGCAAAGUUCAUUCAACGCACCCUCAAUGUAAGCUCCUCUAUUUUCCUUUUUUAGUUACUUUAUUAAUUAAUUAGUAUUAAUUAAAACUAACUAGUUUUUUUUAUUUUUUUUCUUUCUCUUUUUAAAAUAACACCAUUGCCUUGCAAAAACAAAUCAAAACCCAGUUUGAUUUUAUUAUAUUUAUAUGGUUGUUUUACCUGUAUUUAUGCAAAUUGUUGUUGCGACAAAAUGUGGACUAGCUUAGAAGGAAGGAAAAGCAAAAAAUAAUAAAAUAAUAGAAUAAUAAAUAGAACUUUCUGGUAUUUGUUUAGUUUGGGUUAAAAGAAGCCGAAGAAGAUUGCUAAAGUGACAGCAAGAACAAGGCAUACACGUGUCCGCCAAGCCAUGUAUGCAUAUACCUAAUAUGCCUAAAAGUUAGUUUGCUGUCCGACUGGAAUAGUAUUAAUAGGACGAUGGUUUGGGUUAAGAUUAAAUUCUAUAUUAUUCAUAAUAAUAUGAUAAUGAAAUAUUUUAUUUAGGGUCGCCUCGUUUAGUGGAAAAUUGAUGUCACACGUGGCAAUACAUGGUUGUUGCUUUUGGGUUGGUUAUCGUGGCGAUGGACGGUGCGUGGCGUCUCAUGUGGCCGCAUGUGAUUUAGUGGGCAUCAGUGGACGUUUAAAGCAAGUGGGCCUUAAUUCUGUACUAACCGACAAAAAAAGGGCAUAUGGGUCGAAACGGACCCUGGGCCUGUUACCGUUGGUUUUUUUUUGGGGGGUUCUUUUUGGGAAAUAAUAUGCUUCAUGUUGAGGGCAUAUAGGUAUUUUCACUAGCCCUUAAUUAUGCUAACUGUUUUCUGGCUUGGACCGCACUGCCAACUGCUGAGCACAAAAGCACGAAAGCUGACUACCCACAAUGCACCGUUUUCGUUUUUUAAGUUCCAAACAUAGCAAAACUCAUCAAAGUGCUUAUCAAAAAGCCUAUCCCGCUUUUUGCCCAUUACCUAAAGCAAAAGCUACGCUUUUGCCAGUCUGUUUUUGCUUGUUUUGGCCUCUUCCUUUUAAUUAGCUGGAAGAUUAUUGUUCUAAUUAGUUUUUUAUUUUCUGUAAUUUUGUUUUAUAGCUGGUAAGCCCAGGAGCAUGGCUCUGUGAUCUGACCCUAGAACGGUACGAGGUCAGAGAGAAGAAGAUUUCCAAGAAGGUAUUUUAUUGAGUAAUUUUCUUCGAUUCAGGGCCUAAAUCAAAUUUCCUUAAUUUGCCUUUAAUGUUGAUAUUUUUAUGCAGCAGAAUGAAUAGUUUUUUUGUGUUUUUGCAUGAUGCUGCAGAGACCAAGAGGGCUAAAGGCGAUGGGCAACGUGGAGUCUGACUCUGAAUAGAAAGGAGUUUUAGUGAAAAGACUAAUAUAGCAUUUUCGUUUUUUUUCUCCUCCUUUUUUUGAAGGUAUGAGAAAAAUGUUAGAACUUUGUAAAAAUCUUCACCUUUCAACCAUCAGAAUAAUGAAUGGAUUCAUUUCCGGUCCUGUAUACAGUCUUGUUCCUCAUCUUCCUACUAAGUUUGUUUAAUCAGAACAAGAAAAAAAAAACAAAUCAUCACGUCCAAGCACACGAACAAAUGAAAUUUCUCUCUUUCAAACCCUAAUUGUGAAAAAUAAUUAAAAUAAGCUUCAGGGAUGUAAUUCAAGUGGUUAGUCAUGACAUGUUACACAAUCCAACAAUUUUUUGUUUUCUUGUCAACCUACAACACAUUUUCUUAUGUCGUAUUAAGUUAGAAAAGGGAAUUAACGGUGUUGGAUAGUCGUCCAAACGCACGUGAGUGUCUUAUGAUUGUUCAUAUAUUAACAUAUGGGUCUCAGUCUAACAUACAUCGAUGACUUACGGUGGAAGUGCUCAUUAGGCAUGGGCAAAAUCAGUUUCAGACUUCACCAUCCGAGUGAAAAAGAAACUCGAGACUCGAUCGCUCUCAAGAUGUGAAGAAAAUCACGAAAUUGACUCUUGAGACGAGAUUUGAGACUCUUUAGAGGUUAGACUUCAAGAAGGAAGAAGAAAAACAACAAACCAUAACUCUCUUUAGCUGACACACGUAACGUAAAACCACAAUAUAUGAAUUUGCAAAGCUAUUAAAGACAAUGACAUCUAAAAAUUUACCCGAGACAGGAGAAAAACCAGAACCCCAACUCCCUAAAGUUACCUAGUCAUUAGCAAAUUGAAGGGCCACGUCUAAUUUAUAAUGAUAAGAGAUAAUAUCAUUGUUUGGUCGCAUGAUUUGUGGAUGCCACUUUACAUUAUGUGGCCUCCUUAAUUGGUAUUUUGAUGUGACACGGAACACUUAACGCGGUAAUUUAAUUUCUUAACGUAAUUGACAAUUUCAAUGAAAAUCCAUGACCUAUCAUAUCAGACCACCAAACCAAACCCAACUGAAUUAAACUAUUGGAAGAGGAGAAAACAUGGGUCCUAAUUCAAAUUAACAUUCAUAAUUCGCCAUCAUUGACGGGAAGACCCGAAUUAAUCCCCUUAAUUAUGCCACGAAGAAGCAUAAACACAUUUUAAGAAUAACAUCUGCUCUGUGAGAGUUUGUGGAGACAGACAGAUCCACCACCCACCAUCCAGCUGGUUCUCAAAAGGCAAUUCUAAUGCUACCUGCGGGUCGUGAAGAAAAGAGGAAGAUUUUUCAAUUUAAUUAGCCCCCAAAAAAUAGCAUGGAAAAUACCCCCAAAGGGCCCUAAAUAUACCCUUACCCACUGGGCAUAUUUGUCAAUAAACACUGAAAUUAGGGAUUUUUUCAGGACCCAAACACAAUUGCUAUAGUCGGUGACCCAGAGCCUAUCAAAUUAUAAACUCAUUACGUGUUGCAGUUGGAAUUACAGCUUUAUUCUGUUAGAAUAAAUGAUUAAUUUACACCGACUUGGCUACGCCGCUUUUUUGGUCCAAGCGAAAAUAAAAUAAUUGGAUCUGGAUUUGUAAUUUGCCGCUUUUUAUUUGCAGGUAAUGAAAAUGAAAUAACAAUUUGGAUAUUAGUUAAUUUUGAUAUCACAAGCUAGACAAACACCAUUCUCAAAGCAACUCAAGCAUCAAACACAGGAGGAGGAGGAGGAGGAAGACAAACGAAAUAAAAUCAAUGAAUUAUUUACUCAUAAUAAGGAUAAUAAUCGAAAUCCACAAAUACAAAACCCAUAGUAAUAAACCAAGUGCAUUAUAUAUGUAGUCUAUGCACCACAAAAACCCAUAUGACACUGAAAAUCCUAUAGAUCCAUAAUCACCAGCUACUAAAAUGACAAACGCUACUAAUAAAAAACCAAUCAGAAACCCAACCGCUCUCUACACAGCCCCAACCAUAGUUGCAGUAGUAAGCGAAGACUCAAACCCUGAGCGCAGAUCCGAAGACGAUAGCGGCGAAGGCGGCGGCGAAAGCAGAGAUGAACGACGGGGAGAUGGAGGCGGAUGCGGAGGUUGGGCUAGGAGCUGGAGAUUCGGCGGCCUGAGCGGCGCCGAUGACAGAAAGGACGGUGACGAAGACCGCCAUGAGAGCCACGAGUGAAGUUGCCUUUGAGACUGCCAUUGUUGAUUGGUGUGAGAGUUUCUUGUGCUUCGGAAUCUAGGGUUUUGGGAAUACGCCGAGAGACUGAAGCACAAAUAUCAGAGGUGGAAUGAAGUAGGCUCAAGGAACGUAUUUAUAGCGGGGAUUUUGGGCUGGGGUCGGGCAGCCUGGGCAGCUGCCCGGUUCUACAGGCUGGCUACUUGUGAUUGGUUCAGCGCGACAGCUCACACCGCUGGUCGGGGUAAAUUUUUCUCUGUGGGCCCCACUAGAAACCAGUGUCUACGCGGAGUCGUUU